rnacentral:rRNA from 1 species
UGCGGGUAACGUCAAUACGACAAGGUUAUUAACACUUAUCGCCUUCCUCCCCGCUGAAAGUGCUUUACAACCCGAAGGCCUUCUUCACACACGCGGCAUGGCUGCAUCAGGCUUGCGCCCAUUGUGCAAUAUUCCCCACUGCUGCCUCCCGUAG